CCUACGGGUGGCUGCAGUGGGGAAUAUUGGGCAAUGGGCGCAAGCCUGACCCAGCAAUGCCGCGUGAAGGAAGAAGGCUUUCGGGUUGUAAACUUCUUUGACAGGGGAAGAGCAGAAGACGGUACCCUGAAAACAAGCCACGGCUAACUACGGGCCAGCAGCCGCGGUAAUACGUAGGUGGCAAGCGUUGUCCGGAUUUACUGGGUGUAAAGGGCGUGUAGCCGGGAAGGCAAGUCAGAUGUGAAGUCUGGAGGCUCAACCUCCAAAUUGCAUUUGAUACUGUUUUUCUUGAGUACGGGAGAGGCAGGCGGAAUGCGUGGUGUAGCGGUGAAAUGCGUAGAUAUAAGGAAGAACACCAGUGGCGAAGGCGGUCUGCUGGACAGCAACUGACGGUGAGGCGCGAAAGCGUGGGGAGCAAACAGGAUUAGAUACCCGGGUAGUC
rnacentral:rRNA from 1 species